GGAAGUACAGUUAUUCUUCAAGAAUAAGCAGAUAAUUCUAUGGUUUGUCUGGCUUCAUUCCCUUCAUCUUUAGGAAUGUAAAUGCAAAGCUUAGCUAGUCACGUGAAGUAAAUCAGUCAACUUCGUUGAACCAGGGGCAAGAGAAUAAAUUAGACCUUGGUGUAUGUGUCUAACAAUAAAAGAACCUUCAGGCACAUCUGAAAUACACAAAAAAACACAAUUCGUUCAAAAAACUACAUAUGAAGAAAGAACGCAACUAGAAUAGGACAAAGAGUAAGCAAUAACCGGCACAUACAACUUGGAAGAGAAGGAUCUGGAUCCAAAGGGUCAAAUUUGUGCCAGGUAUAAUGAUUUGAGAAGGCAUACUCAAAGCCAGUUUGCCAAACAAAAUGAUCAAUUAUCAACAUUGGAUCGGUUGAGAGCCUCACUUUGCUAUCUAGCCAAAUAGAGUACCUAAAAAUUGCCGCAAGAGGAGGACAAAUUAAUCCUCAGUUGGAGCCAGAUAGACUAAGAAUAAAAGUCCAGCUAGGGAUAUGAAAAAUCACCUAGAAGAAGGAAAGAGGCAACGUGUCAAAAUCUUUGGUACUUUCCCCUUUCUACUCAUAUCUAUGUAUGAGAACAGAGAACAACAAAUGGGGUUGAAACAGCAAGGUCGUUAGAAUGGGAAUGAGGAGAAAAGGAAUCUAUCGUCCUUCCAGGUGGUUUAAUAACUUUGAAAGGAAUCUAUUUUGCUACAAUGUCGUUAUUAGUAAUUAUCUAUGAUCGAGGCUGCACUAAUUCUUGUUACAAUGUCGUAAAUUAUCCAUUUUGACCACACAAGUAUAACUUAUCUUCCCAAUAUCUACUUACUGGAAACUCUCUUAUUAAUAAGCUCAAACAAAAGUUACACGGGCAAUAUAAUAGCAACCCUUAUGCUGCCUACAGGGUUUCUUUGUUGAGCGUUCAGGGAGAUCACGCACAGUAAAAUCUUCUCGUGUUUCUCUCCAAGGCAACAUGCCAUGUUUCAUUUUAACUGCAAAGCACAAUGGGAAACAUGUCUUUGAAUAACAUCUAAACUUAGAAAUGACUAUCGAGACAAAGGACUCUACUAUUAUCUAGCAACCUUUACAUUCAAGUCAUUACUAUGUUCAAGACCUACUCGAUUAGCCAAUAAUUCAACUUUGAUCAACUUAUAGUCUCUUGGACUCAUAGGAUGGUGGUGUAUUUAUACAAGAGGUGGCAUAGUCGUUUCUUGGUGUUGAGAUCAAGAAGAAGAAAGUGUUAAAUCAUGUCUUGAUAAGAAUCAAGGAUAAUAUAGGUGGGCAGAAGGUGAUGGCCUUCGAGAUUAGUGGUGAUGGUACCUUGCGGUACCAAUAGAGGUUAUGUGUUCCUGAUGUAAAUCGGUUGCGAGAGAGAAUCUUGGCUUAGGUUCGUAAGUCGUAUUGUGUUGUUCAUCCUGGUUAGACGAAAAUGCAUCAUGACCUUAAGAAGAUGUAUUGGUGGAACAAUAUAAAGCGGGAUAUGGCUAGUUUUAUGGCGAAAUGCAUGGUGUGCCAAUAAGUGAAAGUUGAGCACAUGAGGCCCGGAGGAUUGUUUUAAGAGAUUGGGUUGCCUAUGUGGAAGUGAUAAGUGAUCAAUAUAGAUUGUCUUACUGAUCUUCCUCGAUCUAGAAAUCAAUUUGAUUUAGUUUGGGUCAUCAUGGAUAGGAUGACAAAGUAGACUCACUUUUUGCCAGUGAGGACUAAUUUCUCAGCUGAGGAUUAUGCAAGAUUAUAUCUCCAUGAGAUUAUGAAGUUGCAUGGGGUACCAGUUUCUAUCAUCUCAUAUCAUGAUACACAAUUUUCAUCUCACUUUUGGUGUUUAUUUCAAAAAGGUUUAGGGACCAAGAUGAGUCUUAGUACUACUUUUCACCUGCAGUUGGAUGGGCAAACAGAAAAACUAUUUAGACAUUGGAGGAUAUGCUUCGGUCUUGCGUGAUUGACUAUGGUGGUAGUUGGGUUGAGCAUUUGCCUCAUAUAGACUUUGACUGUAAUAAUAGCUACCACUUUAGCAUUAGGAUGGCUCUGUUUGAAGCUUUAUAUAGUAAGAGGUGUGGGUUUCCUAUUGGGUGGUUCGAGGUUGGUGAGGCAGAGAUGUUUGACCUAGAUUUGGUUCACCAAGCCGUAGAGAAGGUGAAGGUAAUUCAGGAUAGACUCAAGGCUGCCUAAAGUCAUUAAAAGUCCUAUGCGGGAUAGACAUACAUGUUUUAGUUAUACAGCAUUAUACCUUGUACUUCCUAACUCUUAACUAACUUGACUUUACAUCAUUAUGUUAUGUCACCGCCUCCUCUUACCAUAAUCAGUUCUUGUCACUAACUUUUUGAAAAAUUAUCCCAUAUUCUAACACACAUAAAACCUAAUUCUUUCUUUUUAUUGUAAUUAGGCUAAAUCACUAGAUUAUUAGAUCGCAAAAUCUCUUUGUCACCUAUAUUCAUAUAAUUCACAGUACAAUCCAUCAUGGAGUCAUGUAAACAUAAACGUUCAGCAUCGGUUCAUAAAUCAACAUAUUAACACACAAUUAGAUCUUUAUUGUAUUAAAUUCAUGUUUUAUCCAUCCAAACUCCAUACUCAUAUCCCUAAGCAUGAUUUCUUCUGUCAAAUCUACAUUAUGGAUACAAUUACUAACCACGGUCAACUACUCAUAAACCUUAACCUACCUGGCUCCAAGUUGGUGCAACAAAUAAGUUAUAUCAUGGAUGAUAUUCCUUCUUCUUCUUCUUCUUCUUCUUCUUCUUCUUCACAUUUUUAGAGUCUAAAUCAUCUAAUAAGCAAUAAUUAGAAUAGUAACUAAUAAACAACUCUUCAAACAAAUACCUUGAGAAUUCAAACCCACUAAUUUUAAUUUACGGCCUACAAAUUUAUCUAAGGAUCAAUUGAUUAUCAACCUAGUUAUAUCAAGCGUAACCCAACUCCAUUAAUGGAGUUUUGAAGUUACA